rnacentral:tRNA from 1 species
UAAGGUUUUAUCUUAAUUAAAGUGUUUGAGUUGCAUUCAAAUUAUGUAAGAUAAAGUCUUGCAAUCCUUAA